rnacentral:snoRNA from 1 species
AUUCCAUGAUUUGGACAUUUUCAAAGCAUAUCUUUUAAACCUCUCUUAAGGCUCAUGAAAGCUCUCGAAUUCAGAUUGUUGGAAGAUAGUUAUUUCAUGCUUGAGUUU